UUUUGUUGGCGAUCCUUCCUUUGUGGAGUUUCUACUGCGGGCCUAGAACCUUGGAGACAGCAGGAGCUCGUCCUCCUGUCGCCUGAGUUACACUCCGGAGGGCAGAGCUGGAAGUCGUAUCAGAAACGAAAUACAAAACGUGUUAUGGGACAUGGAGGGGAUCGUGGAGAGGGCACGGACGUGGCGCUGGGUCCUGGAUUCAGAGCAGACAUUUUCACCCUCUGAGUAGACUUCUCACCAUGCUGGCAUGGAGAGCCCUGGUCUCAGUUGCAGCACAAGGCAGAGGAGCACAGCAGCGUUUUGGGAUCUGCACCCCGUGCAAUGCAGCUGAACAAGAGGAGCAACAUAAAAGGCAGCAGACUGCAAAGCUGUUAGCAUUCUGCCUGCACGCAGCUAAAGCACAGUGCUAGAUCUACUAUUAUAAUUCUCUGCUAAUUACAUAGUGUUGAUUGUAUAACUACUUAGCAGUUCCUCCUCUUUUAAUGAGCGCAGCUGUUUUCUGUCCAGCUUCAAUGGGGGAAAUUUCCCAUCUCUAAUUUAAAAGUAAUACUCUCAAAAUUCCAGAGGGCUCCUGGGCUCAUGCUGCUUAAUAUGUUUUAAUGCUCAUGGUGCCUACAGACUUUCUCCAGCCUGGAGAGCACUUAGGGCCAUUCCCCUCAUCCUAUUAAAUGAAUCUUUUUAACUAAUGAACUCUAUUAAUAGAGUUAAAAACCUGAUGGAGCCCUCACCGUGUUGUGAAGAAAACCUUUUUAUUGAGGUAGACUGACACAAGCUGUCAUGUACCUGUGCUAAUUUGGAUCAAUGCACUACAUUGAGUUUUUUUCUGACCUGGCGCUUUUUAGAGAGUCAGAUAGCAGUUAGUUUUCUUCUGAAAAGUUUGUUUGCACUGAGGGAGCUGUGAGUUACCACUUUUAAGGAGACACAGGUGUUAACGUCAGCUGGAGAGCAGAGAGGUCGAUGUGCUGGAGCAUGAAAGAAAAGUAAUGGGCGAAUGGCAGCAAUGUGCUGGACUAUGACCUUCAGGUCAUUGCUUGCCCCCCAGGUACAUGGCAAGCAAAACUGCGUAGGUGACAAUAACAGCUUAAAGCACAUGAUGAGAGCCUGUUCCAGCUCUACAUGAUGCAGUAGCUAAACAGACGUUUUGGAUGUGGACAGUUUUUUCUUUGGAAAACAUGUUUUUGUCAGAAUCGAAACAUUUCCCAGGAAGAUACAGGCUUAGAUAAAGUUUCAGGUGGAGGUAUUGUCAAAACAAAUCACUCCAGCUUUGCAGCUUGCUUUUCACCAAUUCAAAUGUAUUUCACUAACAUUUUUAGCACUUCUAAUUUUUCACAUAUAUCAUAAUGUGCUGACAUGUUUUGACACAGUGAUUGUGGUCUGAACAGAAUGCACAAGAGCGUUCAAUUGGAAAAUAAGUCUUCUAGUCUAUAGGUAAAUGUGAAUGUGUGGUGUGGAAUGAGGAAGUGAUGGAACCUGAUCAGGAAGGGUGUAGCAAGAAUGAAGCUUUAUAUCCCAGCUCUUCUACCUGAAUGGAGGCCCGGUACUUAGGCUUGAUAGUUCCCCAUUCUAAUCCCUGUCGACAUCUAGGACUUGCUCAGUCUGUUAGUGAUUGCAGACAAUAUCAGUAGUUCAAUAAACGAUAAAUACUUGAGCAAAUGAUUAAGCAUUCUGUGGAGCUUCAAGUCGACUGUAACCCCCUACAAUAACUGCUGUUGAUGUACCCUUAAAGUACUACUCUCAUCUGUAACAGCCAUUAAUUAUUUAUUCUCUCUUUAUAGGAGUUGACCUUACUAUAAAUCGAGAUUGUCUGAUCUGCUAUUGAGGGCAAAGACUGCAUUCCUAGAAAGGUGAUGAUUUAUGUAGUAGAUGCUCUUCUUAUGCUUUAUUGUAAAUACUGUGUGGAGAAAUAUGUCUCUUUAGCUCGAGUGUCCUUUUGUUGUUUCCUUAGCAUGCUUGAUUGUAAACAUACAUCAAGUUGUUUCCCUCAGGGGGCCCUGUUCAGAUGCAUCUUGAGUUACAUUAUGGUAAUAAUGUUCAAUCUUUGCAUUAAUAAUUACAACAAAUGUCUCCUGUUCAGCAAAGUAUUUUAUUUCUCUGUUUUCCUUGCUAUUAUGAAGUGCUGUGCUGUUGCUGUGUAUUUUAUGCUGACAGUGCAGGUCACCUGUUCUCCAUGUGUUUUCCUUUUCUACGUUACGUGUGACUCUGGACAGUAGCAUCAUAAUAGGUGUAGCAGGGUUAGGGGCAGCCCAUCCAUUCAGUACAUAGAUCUGGCAGUGUAUCAAGUCUGAAUUUGGCUCACCAGGACCCAUGCAACAAAACUGGAUUUGAGGUAGUAUGCAGUAUUUACACUAACUGAUGCUCAGACAGACAGGGCUUCCCACGUUUCAGUUUGUUGAUCACCCUGGGAGCUGGUCGAGAAAAUGGGAUAGAUGACAGAGCUGUUCUUUCUCUUGAAUGAAAUGAGGGUGCUGAACUGCUGAGGAUGAUCUUGUCCCUGUGAACACUGGAAAGGAUGGGUAAGGGUUAGGGUUAGAAGAUAGCCCCAGAUGAAAUCUCUUGUUAGCUUAGAAAGCCAGAAGCUUUGUUAAAAGCUGUGACCUCUUAAGCUCUGAAGACUGCUGUGGCAAGAUCCUUUGGAUCUUUUUGUCCUUUCUCCCACCCUUUAUCUUUUCCUCUUUCCUUCAAAGCAGCAGUUUUUCUUUGUGCUUCCCCCCUCUUCCCAGCCCUGCAGACUCUCCAGGGAGCCGGUGCAGAGCUGAACUUGGCACAAACAGCCAGCAAGAUGUCUUGAGCUCAGCGUCUAUACAAAUGUCCAGGAUAAACCACUGUAUUAAUAUUUCAAAUGAUUUUCUAAUAUACAGGAUGUGCUGUGGCAGGAGUCCAGGGAAGGAGUUUUUCCUGGUGAAAACUGCUUUCUCUUUCAUUACGUGGUUAUAAACAGUUUCUUUUUAAAACUAUUAUGUGGAAAGAGCAAUGUUUCUGUUGAUGGAAAAUUCUGACACCCUGCUUUUGGCCUUAACCACCAAUUCUGGUUUUGUGCUGUGGAGUUACAACAAAUUUUCUUGGGUGUAAUGCUAGGGAAUCUAGCCCUGCCAUUUUACAGCUACACUGCUGUAAAUCAGUGUGGGAAUACCAUCAUUGGACUAAACUUGACCACAGUGAACUCUCACAUCAAACAGGUUUAAUGUGGCUUUACAGAGCAGGCUUUGGUUAUGUCACCCCACUAUAUCCCAUCCAUUGUGAGGUUCUUGUGUUCCCCAAGGCAGAUUUCCAGCUUUCACAUCACAUUUUUUUUUGUUUCAACUCACAAUAAGAAUAUAAUUUCUCUGAAACAGAAAUGCAAAAUAUUAAGGAAACUGUUCCAGCGUGUGACAGCCUCACAGCAAAAAAAGCUUAGUCUUAUGUUUUUUUUCUUGUCUAUAAAUAGAAUUUCUUGUAUUAGUUCCUGUAUUUCAAUAUUUGUCUAUUACCCUUUGACCCCUCACUGCAUAGCACAGAGGCAUGGCUGCAUCUUUUGUGGUCCUUCCCAUCCUUUAUUCAUAUGGGUGAGAUUUCCCCUUCCCUAUCCUGAGGCUAAACAAUUACAAUUCUCUCAAGCUCUGCUUGUAAGCAUUUUUUUUUUUCCUAUGCAAAAGACUUCUGUUUUUAGAGUGGGUUAUAAUUCUACAGCGAGAAUGAUUUGUCCAAACUGAAAGAACUGCCUCCUUUCCUAAAAACUCAUGUGGGGAGCUGGGAACGCUGACACUAAGUCUGUUUGAAGCCUGGUGACAGCUACCUUCACGUCUGACUCAAUAGCUGUUUAACUUGGCAAAGUCUUUGCUUUGACUCCCUUUGGCUUCUGGAAGCACUGAAAAAAUAUUUAUCAUUUUGUAUGUGUAACUAGAUGAGUCACUUUGUAAAGAUAUGUACUGAGGCAGUCCUGAAAGGCAGUCAUAAUAUGCUUUUCCUUUUUUGUUUCAAGUGGUGCUGAACUUUGGCAUAGAAUUCAUUCUUGGGUUUGAGUUUUGUCUUGAUCCUCCUGAGACUGUGAUGACCUCGCAGGUGUUGAUUCCAACUCUCACCUGCUCUUAGUUCCUCUGGGUCCAAAUCCUGACUAUGGAAUGUCCUGUUUAUCAUCAGAAUACAUGAAGACAAUGGAAGUUGUGACAGCUCUGGAUUUGCUUUCAGUGUGGGAUAUUUGUGCUUCAUUCACUGACAGGUGUUUAUCAUAUAUACGUGUGUGUGUGUGUAUAUAU
ensembl:lncRNA